rnacentral:lncRNA from 1 species
AGUGGUUGAAGUGAAUAAAGUUACUUUUGCAAAAGUAACUUUACAAAAGUGACUUUUUAGUUCGAUUGUUUGGUUGGCUAUAAAGUGAAACAUAAAAAAUUAUAGUUUCUAAUCUUAACUAUUUAAUUUUAUAUAAAGAAGUAAAAAUAUAUACAAAGGACUUAUAAUUUAAAUUAUAUUUUAAUCAACAUUUUGAUCUUAAAUUUUAAAUUCAAAUAUAAAUUUAUAAUUUAAAUUAACAUUUAAA